AUACGGAGGGUGCAAGCGUUAUUCGGAAUCACUGGGCGUAAAGGGUGCGUAGGCGGCUUGAUAAGUCUGAUGUGAAAUCCUAUGGCUCAACCAUAGAACUGCAUUGGAAACUGUCAGACUAGAAUACUGAAGGGGCAGAUGGAAUUAGUGGUGUAGGGGUAAAAUCCGUAGAUAUCACUAGGAAUACCGAAAGCGAAAGCGAUCUGCUGGGAAGUUAUUGACGCUGAGGCACGAAAGCGUGGGGAGCAAACGGGAUUAGAUACCCCAGUAGUCC
rnacentral:rRNA from 1 species